rnacentral:rRNA from 1 species
ACGUAGGGGGCGAGCGUUGUCCGGAAUUACUGGGCGUAAAGGGUGCGUAGGUGGCCUUUUAAGUUGGAUGUGAAAUCCCCGGGCUUAACUUGGGUGGUGCAUCUAAUACUGGAGGGCUAGAGUGCAGGAGAGGGAAGCGGAAUUCCUAGUGUAGAGGUGAAAUGCGUAGAUAUCAGGAGGAACACCAGUGGCGAAGGCGGCUUCCUGGCCUGUAACUGACGCUGAGGCUCGAAAGCGUGGGUAGCAAACAG